AGGGCUAUCGCCAAGUGGAAAAAGGCUCAAGAAUUUGACUCCUGCAUUCAUCGGUUCGAAUCCGAUUAGCCCUG
rnacentral:tRNA from 1 species